rnacentral:rRNA from 1 species
UACGUAGGGACCAAGCGUUGUUCGGAAUCACUGGGCGUAAAGGGAGCGUAGGCGGCGUGGUAAGUCAGAUGUGAAAUCCCGGGGCUCAACCCCGGAACUGCAUCCGAUACUGCCAUGCUAGAGGAUUGGAGAGGUAGCUGGAAUUCUUGGUGUAGCAGUGAAAUGCGUGGAGAUCAAGAGGAACACUCGUGGCGAAAGCGAGCUACUGGACAAUAUCUGACGCUGAGGCUCGAAGGCCAGGGUAGCGAAAGGG